UACGAAGGGUGCAAACGUUGCUCGGAAUUAUUGGGCGUAAAGCGCACGUAGGCGGCUUUGCAAGUCGGAUGUGAAAUCCCUCGGCUUAACCAAGGAAGUGCAUCCGAAACUGCAGAGCUUGAGUACUUAAGAGGAUCGCGGAAUUCCCGGUGUAGAGGUGAAAUUCGUAGAUAUUCGGAAGAACACCAGUGGCGAAGGCGACUAACUGGACAUGUAUUGACGCUGAGGUGCGAAAGCGUGGGGAGCAAACAGG
rnacentral:rRNA from 1 species